rnacentral:lncRNA from 1 species
GAAAGAUUUUACUAUAGGUGCAGUUCACAUAGGGAAAUCAGACAAUUGAAAUAAAUUCAUUAGGUCCUAAUCCAUGGAUUCCACAUGACUGUGCAGGGGUGCAGCCUUGGAUGGAAUAGGCCCACCCACCUGGCAGCCAGACCCACCCACUGGGGAGCCAGGCCCAGCCAAUCAGAAUGCGUUUUUCCCUACAAACGGGCUUUAUUACAGACAGAAAUACUUCUCAGCCCCUGGUGUGGUCUGCCAAAUUCACUAAAACCACAUUGGAAACAGCUUAUGGUAAAGAAAUGAACAUUGAAUUCUCUAGCAAUGGCUCUUGUGAACAUUUCCGCAGUCAGCAUGCCAAUUGCACGCCGCCUCAAAACUUCCGACAUCUGUGGCAUUGUGUUGUGUGACAAAACGGCUCAUUUUAAAGUGGCCUCUUAUUUUCCCCAGUACAAGAUGCACCUGUGUAAUGACCAUAAUGUUUAAUCAGCUUCUUGAUAUGCCACACCUGUCAGGUGGAUGGAUUAUCUUGGCAAAGGAGAAAUGCUCAAUAAUAGGGAUGUAAACA